UAGAUUUCUAACUUUGAACCAUUAUCUGGUCAAAGAACAGUUUCAGGCGGGCAGUUUGACUGGGGCGGUCGCCUCCUAAAGCGUAACGGAGGCGCGCGAAGGUUGGCUCAGAGCGGUCGGAAAUCGCUCGUUGAGUGCAAUGGCAGAAGCCAGCCUGACUGCAAGACUGACAAGUCGAGCAGAGUCGAAAGACGGCCAUAGUGAUCCGGUGGUCCCGAGUAAAA
rnacentral:rRNA from 13 species